rnacentral:lncRNA from 1 species
CAGUGGAGCACUCGGGCCUGCUGCGGCGCUGCUUCCUGGCUGCACAGUGGCUUAGAAGCAGCCGCUGGUAGGGGCUCUGGCACUCCUCCGGGUGAGGGGUGCUCAGGGUACGGCAGGCCUGAGAGCUGGGUCAGGGACAGAGAGCUCCUUUACUACGUUAAAAGGCUCCUGGCUUUCACGCCCAACAGCUGCUGCUGUGGCCCUGCGGUUAUGCAGGCAGAAGACACCCCAGCGUUGUCUCAGGCUGUCUCCAACAUGAGUACCCCGCCUUAACCACCUAGUGUCCGGAUCAGGUGCAGUGACUCCUCUGCACAAUCCAUACACACCUCAGAUGUGCCCCGUGCUCAGCAGAGCAGCCCUCACUCCUUUACAAGCUUAGGUUCAAGCUGCUGGCUGCUAUUCCUGGCCUGUCUUUCCUGGCUUCUGCCUUCCAUUUGUCCCAGUUCUAUCCCUUUCCUCUUCUGGGCCUUGCUCCUCAGGAGGCUGCUCUGUGUUCUCUGAGGAGUGCCCCUCUCCCAAAGUGGAGGGAUGCCACCCUCCCUCUGGAGUCCAGCACAGCCUCCC